AAAACAAUUUAAAAGCUUCAAGUUCUCAGUUGAAAGAGAGAAGAAUAACAGGCGAAUGCUUUUUAUUUGUCAUUUUCUGUAAGAUAAAUGAAAUAA